rnacentral:rRNA from 1 species
UACGGAGGGUGCGAGCGUUGUCCGGAAUCACUGGGCGUAAAGGGCGCGUAGGCGGCCUGAUAAGUAGGGGGUGAAAUCCUGCGGCUUAACCGCAGGGCUGCCUUCUAAACUGUCAGGCUAGAGCACAGUAGAGGCAGGUGGAAUUCCCGGUGUAGCGGUGGAAUGCGUAGAUAUCGAGAGGAACACCUGCGGCGAAGGCGGGUUGCUGGGCCGACACUGACGCUGAGGCGCGAAAGCCAGGGGAGCGAACGGG